AUGCAAGUCGAGCGAGAAAGCCCCGCAAGGGGUGAGUAAAGCGGCAAAAGGGUUAGUAACGCGUAGGUAACGUACCCCGAAGUCCGGGACAACCCAUCGAAAGGUGGGCUAAUACCGGAUAUUAUACCGAGACAUAAGUCUUGGCCAUGAAAGAUAGGGAUCCUUCGGGACCUGUCACUUCGAGAGCGGCCUGCGUCCUAUCAGCUAGUUGGCGAGGUAAUGGCUCACCAAGGCAGACGGGUAGCCGGGCUGAGAGGUCGACCGGCAACACUGGGACUGAGACACUGCCCAGACUCCUACGGGAGGCUGCAGUCGAGGAUCUUUAACAAUGGGCGAAAGCCUGAUUAUGCGACGCCGCGUGCGGGAUGAAGGCCCUCGGGUUGUAAACCGCUGUCAGGGGUUAGGAAAUGGACGGUGCGAACAUCACCGUCAGUUGACCAGCCCCGGAGGAAGUCAUGGCUAACUCCGUGCCAGCAGCCGCGGUAAUACGGAGAUGGCGAACGUUGUUCGGAUUCACUGGGCAUAAAGAGCGCGUAGGCGGUUCCGCAAGUCAGAUGUGAAAUCCCCCGGCUCAACCGGGGAAUUGCGUUUGAAACUGCGGUUCUCGAGUGCAGGAGGGGAGAGUGGAAUUCCUGGUGGAGCGGUGAAAUGCGUAGAUAUCAGGAAGAACGCCGGAGGCGAAAGCGACUCUCUGGCCUGUUACUGACGCUGAGGUGCGAAAGCCAAGGGAGCAAACAGGAUUAGAUACCCUGGUAGUCUUGGCUGUAAACGAUGGGCACUAAGUAGAGGGGUUU
rnacentral:rRNA from 1 species